rnacentral:rRNA from 1 species
AGGAUGAACGCUGGCGGCGUGCUUAACACAUGCAAGUCACGGGGGCCCAGCAAUGGGCAACCGGCGAACGGGUGCGUAACACGUGAGCAACCUACCGAAAUGAGGGGGAUAGCCGGCCCAACGGCCGGGUAAUACCGCAUACGCUCGAGACCAGGCAUUUGGACUCGAGGAAACCUCAGGGGCAUUUCGAGGGGCUCGCGGCCUAUCAGCUAGUUGGUGAGGUAACGGCUCACCAAGGCGACGACGGGUAGC